CCGGCACACGCCUGGAUACUCGUGAUUAAUUAGGCUGAAUGGUGAUGACGAACUGUGCUUAUGAACCAUGACUUGUUUCUCUCUCUCAGAAUGAGUUGCUAUUUGCUGAAAUUGAAUACAUGCAAAAGAGGCAGGAGAUCGACUUACAUCACAAUAAUCAAUUCCUUCGAGCUAAGAUAGCUGAAACUGAGAGAGCCCAACAGCACAUGAAUUUGAUGCCGGGG